UUCUAAAGUGAUUUUAUUGCCAAAAAACACUAAUUGAUUGCUAGUUUCGUUUUCUUGUUGUUGUGGCAGCAUUGGAGGGAUAUUUCAUGGAAAAUUAAGGUCAAAUUGGAGUUGUUCUUUCUGUAUAAAGGUAAGUAACCUCUUACUCUAUAUGUAUUUAAGAUUAUCUAAGUUGCGGCUAAGUCAAUGAAGCUAUAACUUGUGGAAUAUAUAUCGAAAGGCUUGGUAGUAAUGUUAUCGGUUGGUGGACUAUUUUGGGAGGUUCAAUAUGAUUAACAUUAAUGUUGUUUAGGCUUUUUGGUGAUUUUUUUCACUUGUGUAAGUCAUAUAAAUAGGGGAGGUGCUGUCCGUUUCAUCAUAAAAUAGGUUGUGGUCGGUACAUAAUAGUUCUGACGCUUAAACAUUAACGAUGGUGUCAUUUCUCCUAUUGUAGACUAAGGAGUCUUGACAUUUGCAUAGCUUGAGGUUGGGCAGUAUAUACAAGGUAUGUGAGGCUAUCCUUUUCCUUCUUUUGCACGACUCCGAUUAUACAUAAUGUAAUGAACGAGCUUCCAAAGAUACUGUACUCUUAGAAGCUAGCAGUACUUACAUUAUUUUCCCUCUUAUGGAACGAUUAAUGUUGAUGUUGCUUCUCUUAUUCUUAUAUUAUCAAUGUUGUUGAUACUUCCUAAUUCUUAUAAGGUUCAUAGUGAAGAGUUAGUCCUAAUAACGUGUACAAAGGAUACCGACCUUACGUCACUCCGAAAGGUUUAGAACAUGAUUCCAUGAGUCGAGCAUGCAGUAUUAUAUAUGUAUCUAUUUUACUCUACCGAGCCGCGCUAUAGUCGGCCGGGUACGUCACCUAUUAUGCAACCACUGAUCAGUUGGGUUUUACCGAGCUCCACAUGGCCGGGUACGAUUCUACUGAACCUUAUGAUGGUCGGGUACGUUUUUACCGAGCCUAUUACGGCCGGGUAUGAUAUGAUGAUAAUGAUGCCCACAGAGGCGUAUGUUUUAAAAGUUUAUGCAUAUAUACAUAUGUAUCAUGCAUUGCAUGUCAGUAGCCCUCAGAGGUACCCAGACGUUACAGGUUAUAUAUUCUUUAUUCCUGCUUACAUUACUGUUCGUACUUAUGGUUCCCUGCCUUACAUACUCAGUACUUUAUUCGUACUGACGUCCUUUUAUUUGUGGACGCUGCAUGUCGUGCUGCAGGUCCUGAUAGACAGCCAGGCGCAACUCCCCAACCACAGUAGGUGGUCCAAUUCAGCGGUGAUUGGCGAGAUCCCUUCUUCAGACUUGUCGUGGUCUUGGUAUGCAUUUUUGUUAUAGACGUUAUGGGUAUGUCGGGGCCCUGUUCUAGGAAUGUUGCAGCACUUAUGUUCUUUUAGAGGCUCAUAGACAAGUGCCGACUCAUGUAUAGUUUGGUAUGCUUUGUCGGUUGAUUUUUGUUGUACUCUUUCAUGGUAGCAUGGUAGCAUGGUAGCUCGUACCUUAUAUAUAGUGUCUUGAUUGUCUGGUCAUCCAAACAUGUAUGUUCAUGUCAUCAUCUUUUGUUGUUAGUUGUGCAUGAUCCAUGUCUACCAAUUAUAUUGAUCUCGUUGGCCAUAAAAGAUAAUAAAGAAGGUUAGAUAAAAUGUACGUUGGUGCUCGACAAGUAUGUCGGGUGCUAGUCAUGGCCCUCCAGUUUGGGUCGUGACAUACAACUACAAUAGUGUCAAAUCCAAAUUACUUACAAGUCAAAUUGAUAAUUGAUGC
rnacentral:lncRNA from 1 species